UAUCCAAUGGCGUUCAAGGUUUUGUUUUUAAUUCGGUCAAAAGUGGUGCUGAAAAUUCGCAAAAUUAUUUAGAUAGUGAUCCUGACAAUAACUCAGAGGAAGCCUUGAGCCCAAGCAAUGAAGAACCCGAAGUAGUGG